UGAAUAAGCAAUGUUGAAUAUUUAAGCAAGUUAAAUUAAAAAUAAAUGAAACAAUGUUGAAUAUUUAAGCAGCCUUGGCAUGUAUGUACGCAUACACUGGCACAAGGAUUUUUGAAGGCAGAAGAAGCUUUGAAGGCUAAUCGCAUGAAGAUCUGUAUGGCCGAAGAGCAAAGACUGGUACACAGAGGUCAGCCAAUUAUUCACGGAGAGACAAUGCCCACGUGAACAAAGCAAAGAUUUUAUAGAUUCCUGAAGAUUGAAGUUUGUCGGGGCACUAUCUCUCGCUCUUAUCCAUCGCCUAGAGGGACACACAUUCUUCCCUACUACAUAUAAAAUAAAGAGGUGCAUUCUCCCGGAAGCCAUCCAGAGAGCUGCUCUCUCACCUAUAAAAGGAGACAUUUGCUGCGAAGAGAGACACAACACCUGACGGAGAAGAACCACUAGCCACUGAUAGAGCAAAGAGCUGCAACCCAGCUAGCAAGCUCGUUGCUCAGUAGUACUACUAGUAGUAGUUUCUCAUCGUGCAAUAAGAGCCACAAUAUCCAGAGCAUUGUAAGGCUCAAGAAGGUAGUUAGAAGCCAUGGCAUGUAUGUAUGCAUACACUGGCAAAAGGAUUCUUGAAGGCAGGAGAAGCUCUGAAGGCUAAUCGCAUGAAGAUCCGUAUGGCUGAAGAGCAAAGACUGGUACACAAAGGCCAGCCAAUUAUUCACGGAGAGACAAUGCCCACGUGAACAAAGCAAAGAUUUGAUAGAUUGCAGAAGAUUGAAUUUUGUUGGGGCACUAUCUCUCGCUCUUAUCCAUCGCCUAGAGGGACACGCAUGCAUCCCUACUACAUAUAAGAUAAAGAGCUGCAUUCUCCCGGAAGCCAUCCAGAGAGCUGCUCUCUUGCCUAUAAAAGGAGACAUUUGCUGCGAAAAGAGACACAACACCAGACGGAGAAGAACCACCAGCCACUAAUAGAGCAAAGAGCUGCAAUCCAGCUAGCAAGCUCGUUGCUCAAUAGUAGUAGUAGUAGUUUCUCAUUGUGCAAUAAGAGCCACAUAUCCAGAGCAUUGUAAGGCUCAAGAAGGUAGUUAGAAGGUAAUUUUAUUUAGCUUGUGUAAUCCCUUCGGGGCCUCCCGAAAUGGAAAGCCAUAUGUAAAUUAUGCUGUGGAAAUGAUGUAGUUUCUUGGUUUCACUUGGUAUAUUUAUUUAUGAAUUUAUGAGACGA